GGGGCGUUAGCUCAAUUUGGUAGAGCGUCGGGCUUUUAACCCGCGGGUUCUGGGUUCGAGUCCCAGGCGCCCCA
rnacentral:tRNA from 1 species